UACGUAGGGGGCUAGCGUUGUCCGGAAUCAUUGGGCGUAAAGAGCGUGUAGGCGGUUCGGUAAGUCCGCUGUGAAAGUCGGGGGCUCAACCCUCGAAUGCCGGUGGAUACUGUCGGACUAGAGUACGGAAGAGGCGAGUGGAAUUCCUGGUGUAGCGGUGAAAUGCGCAGAUAUCAGGAGGAACACCAAUUGCGAAGGCAGCUCGCUGGGACGUUACUGACGCUGAGACGCGAAAGCGUGGGGAGCAAACAGG
rnacentral:rRNA from 1 species